rnacentral:lncRNA from 1 species
UGAAUUGAGAUCAGUUUUGGAAAAAGGAAAGGGGAUGAGAAAAAAAAUGGGGGGGGGGUUAAAUUUUUCUCAUUUCAGAUUUCAUAAAUAAAAAGAAAAUUUCUUCAAACAUUUUUUUGAGAGGAUUAAUAUUCAACAGCAUAGUGAAUUGCUCAAAGGAAAAAAAAGUAUUUUAAGUUCAUUAGACCACAUUCAUUCUGUGUCAGAAACCUAUGCUGUGUCAACUAUUUCAUCACAAUCCAAAUUUAGAGCUGAAUCCAGCUUGAAUGUUGUGUCCAUACUUGCCCCAACCAUUCAGGGUUCAACCUCUGCGGUCAUAUAAAGCUGCGCCCUGC